rfam:TPA: Bos taurus chromosome 15, whole genome shotgun sequence.
UCCCUUGUGGCUCAGCUGGUAAAGAAUCUGCCUGCAAUGCAGGAGACCUGGGUUUGAUUCCUGGGUUGGGAA